AGCGAACGCUGGCGGCAGGCCUAACACAUGCAAGUCGAACGAAGUCUUCGGACUUAGUGGCGGACGGGUGAGUAACACGUGGGAACGUGCCUUUAGGUUCGGAAUAACUCAGGGAAACUUGUGCUAAUACCGAAUGUGCCCUUCGGGGGAAAGAUUUAUCGCCUUUAGAGCGGCCCGCGUCUGAUUAGCUAGUUGGUGAGGUAAAGGCUCACCAAGGCUACGAUCAGUAGCUGGUCUGAGAGGAUGACCAGCCACAUUGGGACUGAGACACGGCCCAAAGUCCGACGGGAGGCAGCAGUGGGGAAUCUUGCGGAAUGGGCGAAAGCCUGACGCAGCCAUGCCGCGUGGAUGAUGAAGGUCUUAGGAUUGUAAAAUCCUUUCACCGGUGAAGAUAAUGACUGUAGCCGGAGAAGAAGCCCCGGCUAACUUCGUGCCAGCCGCCGCGGUAACAC
rnacentral:rRNA from 1 species